rnacentral:lncRNA from 1 species
CUGGUAAACUUUGGUAGAUAAAUCGAAUCAGACAUCAUUGCAAAUGAUUCUGAUCGCAACAAAUAUUUAAUAUUCUAUCUGAUUGCAGUGCUAACAAUUAUAUGAGGCAAGCUUAAUGAUAACGACAGGAACACAAACAAAGGUCUUAGAAUCAUUAUUUACAAAUGAAUGCUCUACAAUGGGAUAUACAUCAACACUAUUAGCUACAACAACAAAUUGGUAAAAUAGCCAAGUAAAGUGUCAUAUUAGUCUGUGAAGACAAAACAUAAUUCAGAUAUCUCACCAUAUCUUUUGGAGAUUGAAUGUACCAAACCUUAACUUCAUGUGCAAAAUCUCCCUAGAGAUCCUUCAGAGAAAUUUCUUUUUCGCUUUAUUUCGUCUCUUAAAACAGACGAGUAAUUAUUUUUUCUUUAUAUGUUCUCCUCAAUUGAUUUGGAAAAUAAUAAUAAAUGAAUAACAUUUGGAUGGAAACGAUCAUUUUUUAUCCUAAGCCAUGGAUGCAUCAUGCAUGACCAAUCUGUGUACAGUGGAGAUGAAGAAAGCUCACAAGCUAACAUAAACUAAUGGAGGAACUCGUUUGGCGUAUGGGGCCUACAUGUAGUAACGUAUAUCCACUAUGAAUCUAACCAGUGGUGAUUCCACUAAGGAGGCUUCAAUAGGCUUAAGCCUACCCUUCAAAAUCCUAUUUAAGCUAAACAUACUACUUGAGCAGUAUAUUCUGGUGGUUUACAUGCAAUAAUUGCAAUGCAUUUGCUAAUUAGACUGUUUUAAGCCUACCCUUCAAUGUCCUGCUAGAUUCGCCACUGAAUCUAACAUAUAAAGAUCAAAGUCUCCUCACCAUGACUCGUUGGAGUUACGUAUGUACGUAGCGGCUGCCACUCGAUGGCCACCAGAUCCCUACCGUUGCAGUAUCGAUUCCUUGUCACCAUGAUCAUGGGUACCUAGCAGCAGCAUACAUAAGGAUAUGCACAUAACAUGAAGCAAUUGUAAUCAGCAAGCAGCAGCCUUCUCUGUGUUCUCUGUAUAGAUGUGUAGUAACCAAGUAGCAGCAUGAACAAAAUUGCAGCAGCGGGCUGCUGCUCUCCUCUCUGAUCUCUCUCUAUAUGCAAUACUAGUAUAGCAGAACAUCAAAAUUAGCAACGGCAGAGCAAUCUUGAGAAAAUAGUAUGAAUAUAAAUAAAAAGAUUCUAAUGUGUUUAUUCUGGCAUAUUGUAACAUUCAGUGUGUAUAGCUGAGUUCAACACCAGCUAUAAUGGCUGCCAAUCUUGGUUAAGUACUGAUCAAGUAGCAUUCGACUGAACAAAAGCAAUAAACUUUGGUCUUUAUGUCCAGAGUAAAUUAGGAAUAAUAGUGAGCAAAGCAUAUGAACAUAUCUCAUUAUUCAAAUCUUAAGUUAACAGAUCUACAAUGUGCACCCUUGUGCACAACCCAUCUCUAAGAAAUUGUUUGGAACAUCAUUGAUAGAAAUUUAUUAGCAGAAUUUAAGCUAUAACAUUGUAGGCAAUACAAAGGAAUUCAGAUGUAAGCUGAAUCUUCCUUGAACUUUCAGCCCUGGCAACUCCGACCCAUUAGUCAUUAGUUCAAAGUUCAAAACUGAUGAUAGAAUUGGACGAUGGCGUACCUUGGAUGGAGCACAUGCCGACAAUGUUUCGGCAAACUAAGUGGAGCGGCGAGAUUGGAAGCUUCGGGCGCGACUAGAACUGAUGCCUGACGGUGUACAUGAGGAGCUUACCUGAGCCGAUUGCACUCAUCCCUUGUCCCACUCCCACACUUCCAUCUUGUUGAGUCAUCACAGCUACUAUUCUCCUGUUCGUAUCUAUUGCAUCACCCAGCCAUGCAAAUCAUAUCAGAACAAUGUAACAAUCAAUGAUUUAAUUAGCAUGGCACAAAGAGUCAGAUCGACCAAUAAUCAAUAUGUCACGGCAUGCAUGUAUCAUGAAUAUGAAUCAAGCAAGGAUACAUUACAUACCUCGAACUCCGCCGCGGCGGAAUCUAUCUGCCCGAGCAUAGUUAUCGCCGCUGGUCACUCUGUGCUUGUCCUGCGGACUCGAGCCAGUCACCGUCUACGCCGAGGCAGCCCACACCGUAUGGAAGAAUCGAUAUGGAGAAAUUGUACAGCGAGAAAAGAGUUUUAGGCACACACACCGCCCUUGACUCGCUUGUCCUCGGCGUCCGGCAAGGCCCAGUACGCCGUCCCGGCAUGGCGGCGGAACGGCAGGGGAAGAGGCCCGUGGUGGCUCGGCUUCGCGGGCCGUGGAUCACCUUCAGCUUCUUCAUCUUCCGCAUGAACCCCACCAUCACCCUUCCUACUCGCUCUCCUAGGAAAUCCACCUCAAAUCCCAUGGAUUCCUAGUGGGGAUCAGUCGAAUCGACCGCUGGUUGCUUUUGGUGCCGGCGGGCUUGAAGAUUGUAGGCGGAUUGGGUGCCGGCGGGCUUGAAGAUUGCAGGAGGUUGGAGCCCAAGAAGGCUCAGGGUGGCGCAGGAGAAGAUUGGUGCAGAUGGAG